rnacentral:ncRNA from 1 species
UUCGGCCACACGCCGACAGGUUGGGAAGGUUAAACGGGAAGUCCGGAAUUCCGGCGCUGCCCCCGCAACGGUGAUCCACUUCUAUCUUUAAUGGCCAGAAGUGGUAAGCCCGAUACCGGCCUCUAAUCGAACCACGAU